GGACUACCGGGGUUUCUAAUCCUGUUUGAUCCCCACGCUGUCGUGCAUGAGCGUCAGUUACGAGCCAGUGAGCCGCCUUCGCCACCGGUGUUCUUCCCAAUAUCUACGAAUUUCACCUCUACACUGGGAAUUCCACUCACCUCUCUCGUACUCCAGUUCGUCAGUUUCAAAGGCAAUUCCAGAGUUGAGCUCUGGGCUUUCACCCCUGACUUGAAAAACCGCCUGCGCACGCUUUACGCCCAGUAAUUCCGAACAACGCUAGCCCCCUUCGUAUUACCGCGGCUGCUGGCAC
rnacentral:rRNA from 1 species